UACGGAGGAUCCAAGCGUUAUCCGGAUUCAUUGGGUUUAAAGGGUGCGUAGGCGGAAUGAUAAGUCAGUGGUGAAAGCCUGCAGCUUAACUGCAGAACUGCCAUUGAUACUGUCAAUCUUGAGUACAUUUGAUGUGGGCGGAAUGUGUCAUGUAGCGGUGAAAUGCUUAGAUAUGACACAGAACACCGAUUGCGAAGGCAGCUCACAAAACUGUAACUGACGCUGAGGCACGAAAGCGUGGGGAUCAAACAGG
rnacentral:rRNA from 1 species